AUACGGAGGAUGCGAGCGUUAUCCGGAUUUACUGGGCGUAAAGGGCGUGUAGGCGGACUUGCAAGUCAGAAGUGAAAUUCCUGAGCUCAACUCGGGCGCUGCUUCUGAAACUGCAGGACUUGAGUGCUGGAGGGGAUAGCGGAAUUCCUAGUGGAGCGGUAAAAUGCGCAGAUAAUAGGAAGAACACCGGUGGCGAAGGCGGCUAUCUGGACAGUAACUGACGCUGAGGCGCGACAGCGUGAGGAGCAAACAGGAUUAGAUACCCUGGUAGUCCACGCUGUAAACGAUGAAUACUAGGUGUAGGGGGUAUCGACUCCCUCUGUGCCGCAGUUAACACAAUAAGUGAUCCGCCUGGGGAGUUCGGCCGCAAGGUUGAAACUCAAAUGAAUUGACUUGG
rnacentral:rRNA from 1 species